rnacentral:misc_RNA from 1 species
AAUGAUUGACUUUCCAUAACACAUACAAUUACUUGUUAUAAAGCAUUACGUUGUGGUAAAUUGUUUACUUCAUGAUCAGACAAGUUUUUAUAUAUAAAUGUCAAAAUGCAAGUUGUGGUGAAUGGACUUCUCUUCCAGCUAUCCCUUCCCCUCAAUUUCCUUUGCAGUCUAUGUUGCGAGGCCAUACAGAUUCUUGUUGACAUGAAGUCUAUGUUUCAAUUGCUUAAGGUAGUUUUCGAGGAACUAACUACAAUUUUCUUGCCGUUCAGGGGUUGACAAAUCUUUUGUUUCCUUUUCUCAUUACAAUGCUAUUUGCAAACCCCCCUCCCCCCACCCAAAAGAAAAAAAAAAAAAAA